AACGGUAGAGGCGCGGUGCUUAUCAGUAGGAGUCGUUUUAAUGCAGGGGGCUGCGGACGGCAUCGAAAGGAAAUACCGCCGAAAUACACGGUCUGCCCUAUGGGCUGUGUGUUGGGCUGCAGGAGAAUAUUUUGCAGACUGUCACGUCCUUAAAGUGAAGCGCUAUCUA
rnacentral:ncRNA from 1 species